rnacentral:rRNA from 1 species
AGUGAACGCUGGCGGUAGGCCUAACACAUGCAAGUCGAACGGUAGCACAGGAGAGCUUGCUCUCUAGGUGGCGAGUGGCGGACGUAUGAGGAAUACAUCGGAAUCUGCCCAGUCGUGGGGGAUAACGUAGGGAAACUUACUCCAAUACCGCAUACGACCUCCGGUUGUAAGAGGGGGAUCGCAAGACCUCUCGCGAUUGGACGAGCCGAUGUCGGAUUAGCUAGUUAGCGGGGUAAUGGCCCACCAAGCCGACGAUCCGGAGCUGGUCGGGGAGGAUGAUCAGCCGCACUGGAACGGGGACGCGCUCCAGACGCCUACGGGAGGCAGCAGUGGGGAAUAUUGGACAAUGGGCGCAAGCCUGAUCCAGCCAUACCGCGUGGGUGAAAAAGGCCUUCGGGUUGUAAAGACCUUUUGUUGGGAAAGAAAUCUUUCAGGCUAAUACCCUGGGAGGAUGACGGUACCCAAAGAAUAAGCACCGGCUAAGUUCGUG